GCAAUCUUCAUCUGGCAACUUUUGCAGCUUGUAAUCAUCUGGGAUAGUUCUCGUCAUUCUUGAAACACUUUGGUCGCGUGUUGUCACGAUAAUUGUAGUUCCUUUUCCAAAAGGGGCUACUAGGAUAGUCCAAUCAUUAUAGAUUUGAUGCCAAAGAUCAUCCAAAAUGAGAAGUAGUUUUUUUCCAGAGAGCUUCUCCUUCAAUUUUAUUUGAAGAUUAUUCAAAUUAGCUUCAGCAUCACCAGACUUAUGGCCAACUGAUGACAAAAUUGAUUUUGUUAUAUCCGUGAUAUCAAAAUUUUCAGAAACACAUACCCAUGCUUUGAGAUCAAAAUAAUCAUUCACGCGAUUAUCAUUGUAGACAAGCUGAGCAAGAGUUGUCUUACCAAUCCCUCCCAUGCCAACGAUGGGAAUCACAACCUUUCCUUCAUCAUCACUCUCGACGAGCAAUUCGAGUAUUUUCUCCUUGUCUUUGUCUCUACCAUACACAUGAGUUUCAAUCUCCACAGAAGUAGGUUGCAGCCGUCCUUCUAUCCUUUUGGAUCUAUGGCAGUCCUUCAUUCUCUUCUGUAACUUUUUUCUCUCUGGUUCUAAAGCUUUCAAUCUGACAGUGACAUCAUUUAUCUUGGACAUCAUGUCCCUGUAAAAACUAACAGCACCGAGUGGUUCAGUGAUCAUGAGUCUUGGUUUCUUACUUGAGCUACCUCGACGUUCCAUCAUCAAAUUGCGUCUCGAAAUUUCGGUUGCAAGCUCGUCCAAGACGUCGUCCACAUCGUAUGCCAAGAUUUGGAGGUGGAACAACCAGAUUUUGACGAACUUAUCUUUGAGCUGCCUCUCCUCAGCAUCAUCAAGCACAGCACGAAUCUCCAGCAAUUCCUUCUUCAACUUCUCCAUCCCCUCGUGAAUCUUCUUCUCGGUAGCAAAUUGCAGUAAGUCAGAAGACACCAACUUGUCUAUGAGAAAGUCGAAGAACUUGGAGACAACAACUUCUCCUAUGGCGGACAAGGCAUCAAAGAAAGACAUGGUUGGAGGAAAUCAAAGCAGAGAAAAUUUAGAAAAGAGUAGAGAUAGAGGCGAAGUGAGUAAAGAUUAGUUGUAUUGGUGACUUUUAUUUGUCUGUGUCCGUUGAUUUUGACAAUCUUUUACAGACAUGUGGCUAAGCUUUUUGGUGUAAAAAUAAUUUAUAAAGCACUGAUAUUUAUUACACUUAUUUUUUUACUUAUUUUAAAAUAAUAAUAAGUAUAUAUAAAAGACAUUAAUUUUAAAAAUGUAAAUGAAUAAAUGAGAAUUAUAUAUAAGAAAUAAUUAAUAUUUCAAUAUAUAUAAAUAAAAUUUCAUAAUAUUAAUUAUUGUCCUCUAAAGUUAGUGUUUUAAUGAAAGGUAACUUUGGAAAAGUGUUUUUCAUUUUAAUAAAGUGGACAUUAUUUUGAAACAUUUUAAAAUAAUAAGAUGGAUUGCAACAAAGUGAGGAUUAAUAUUUAUAAUGAAAAGUAUUUUUAAUGAAAGUCAUUUGAUAUAAUUAUAAUUCUUAUAUAUUUACAAAUUAAAUAAAUCUAAUUGAUAUUAAAAAUAAAAAAUUUUGUGAUGCCAAUUUAGAAUGAUAAGAAACAUAUAUGACUAUUUCCAUCAAUCAAAAAGUAUAUUCAAUAUCCAUAAGUUUAUAUAUACUAGUAUUUAGUGUCACUGUUUUUUAUUUAUUUUUAAAUACUAAUAAUUUUAUAUAAAAUAUAUUAAAUGUUGUUAAAGUGAAAAUGUAAUUAUCUAUAAAUAUAAGGCACUUAUAAUUAAAAAACAAUUAUAUAUAAAAUAAUUAAUUAAUAUUUCAACUAUAAAAUUUAUAAAUUAUUCUGUACUAAGAAAAUUACUUUUCAAUACAAUUCCAACGUCUCUUUGGCAGCUGGCCCUAGCCAUGGUUGGUCCUAUGAAGGUGAUAACCCUAAGAAAAUUUAUCUAAAAAAAAUUAAAUUUUUAACCAUAACAUUUCAUUAACUAUGAAUAUAGAUAACCCUAAGAAAAUUUAAUUGUCUGAUUACUCAUAAAUAGUAUCAAUAAUACAUAUAAUAAUUUUAUAAUUAUUUAUUUUUUACUCAUAGUUGGAUAAUUGGAAAUUUUAGCUUUUUUCUAUGAAAAGAUUUAUAUUUAAUAUCUUUUUUUUGGGUAAGAUUGGAAACAAUAUUUGUUUUAAUAAUGACAUCAAUUCCACAAUCAAAAUUUAAUUAUCUUGUUGUUAAUAUGCUUGUACAUAUUAAGUCAUAUUUUAUUAAUUUUAUGUGAACGAAAUCAUACUCUAUUGUUUUAUCAUUAAUUAGAAGAAAUUGAAUUUUAUUCCAUUGGUAAAAGUUAUUAAUUUAUCAUUUGAAAUCAAAUUAGAAAGUAUAGUGAUAAAAUUACCUCCAUUCAAAGAGGAAUGAUAAAUUUAAUACACCAUCUGAAAUAAAAUGAUAAAUUUGAAUCUUGUCCCUUUUAAUAAAACAGCUACUAUUCUUUAAUACAUACACUUAUAUUCAAAGUUUGACACAUCAAUUUAAUUUUACAAAAAAACAAGUUGAUUUAAUUGGAAAAAAAAUGAAAAAAUUAUUUGUUUCAAUGUAGGUGAUCUUGUAUUCAAAGUUUGAUACUUCAAUUUAACUAUUACUAGCUAUAGGUCCACAAAAUAUAAAAAAAAAUCGUUCACCUUGAUAUAAUAAGUGAUUUUUAAUUUGAGUCUUAUUAGUGAUUUAUCUUAAUAGUAUCCAAUGAAAAUAGUAUGAAUUUCAGGAAUCUUUUACAGUCGACUUUGAAGUUAGAAAGCAGGGUAGAAUUUACGUAUGAAUUUGAUUCCCACAAAGCCCCUCUUCAUGGUGAUUUCUAUAUUGGAAACAGGUUGAAACAUGGAAACUGCAUAUCCAAUUUCGUCCGAAGCUUCGUUUAUUAGAGUAAAGAGGAACGUAUAAAAUGGAGGCGUCAUCUUUAGACUAAGAGACUCUUUGGCAGGUAGGCCCCGCCCCCCCACGCGCCCCCCCAGUCCCCACGGUUGGACCUACAGACUUAAUAAUUGCCACAACCAGAAGUGCUCGAGCUAAUAUUUUACAAUUUAUCAAAAGUAGAUAAAGACAUGAUGCUUUAACAAAGAGCAUGCUAUGAGAUGGCUUAAAUGAGUUGUAAGACUAAGCUUUCAUUUUAGUUCCUAAUUAUCUAUUAAUUAUUUUAUCUAAAUUUUCAAGUAAAUUUUUAUAUCUUUUAUUUAAUUGAACGUAAUAACAAUAUAAAGAUUUAUCAAAAUAUUCUUAAAUAAUUAAAAACUUAUUUGAGUAUUAUAUUUUUUAUUUUCUAUUCUAAUCAUUCAGAUAUAGGUUGUACUAACAAAAAAUAGAUUUUUUUAUUAGAAAUUGAGUGUGAAAUGGGGCAGAGCUAACUAUGAAAGAGUUGAAGUAGAAGUAAAAAACAGAGAAAUUCAGGAAUCUUUUACGAUGGACCCACACGGCUUUGAAGUUAGAAGGCAGGGUAGAAUUUAUGUAUGAAUUUGAUUCCCACAAAGCACCUUUUCUUGGUGAUUUCUAUAUUGGAAAAGUUGAAACAAGGAAACUGUAUUAAUAUCCAAUUUCCUUUUGAUAAAUGCAUCUUUCAUGCUAUAAAUUAAAGUUGAAGUGCACGUUUGGCCAAAUUAUGAACUAACUACUUCAUUGAUUAGGUACUAAAUGAACGUUUCCAAGUAGCUUCUUUGUCUCUAAAGAAUGGUCUUCUCUCUCUCUCUAAGCAAUUUAAAGUAAAAAAUCUCUUUUCUUUGGACAUGACCUUUUAUAACAUUCUGAAAAAAUAAAAUGACUCAAAAAGAAGAAAUCAGAAAAUCUUAAUGAAAAAUAGAAUCAGGGAAACCUAUUAUGUUUAGUAGGUAUUAAAUGAAAGUUUCCAAGUAGGGAAACCUAUUAUCUCUCCUCAUUUUCCAACUCUAUGCUAAAGAAUGGUUUUCUCUCUCUCUCUCUCUCUCUCUCUCUCACAAAGCAAUUUAAAGCUAAAACCUCUUUUCCUUGGAAAUGACCUUUUCUACCAUUCCAAGAUGAUGGAGUUAGGUAUGAAAACCUACUCAUAAAUACUUUGAAUACUACCAGAUUGAAAAAAAAAUCAUAAUAUUUGAAAAUAUUUUUAAACUAUUCAAAAAAUUCAAAAAUAAAUAUUAUNNNNNNNNNNNNNNNNNNNNNNNNNNNNNNNNNNNNNNNNNNNNNNNNNNNNNNNNNNNNNNNNNNNNNNNNNNNNNNNNNNNNNNNNNNNNNNNNNNNNNNNNNNNNNNNNNNNNNNNNNNNNNNNNNNNAUUUUAAUUCUAAUAAUUUAUCCAAUUAUUAAUUAUAAAAUUUAUUUAUUUAAAAUAAAAGUAUAAAUUUUUUUAAUAUUUAAUUUUUUUUAAAAUAUUACAACAUACAAAAUAUUAAUUAAGUAUUAGAUAAAAAAAUUGUUUAAAUUGAAGAAGAUAUUAAUUACAUGUGCCGGUGUAAUGUCCUAUAAUCCAAGUCACGAGUGAAACACUAUAGAAUUUAUGAGUUGAAAAGUAAAGAAUAGUUGGCAAAAUGUAGUGUCAGUUUCAUCUAGAUAAGGUUGAGAAGAACUCUCAUUCUCCCUAAACCUUCUCUGUUCAUUUCUUUUUUUUUUUCGUAGUUUCCUUGUCUCUGUUGUGUUGGUGGGAUGUCCUUUCAAAAAUUUAAGAUCAAAAGUUUCAACUGUAACAAUUAAUAGCUAAAUAUUUUUUAUUUUUUAUAAUUAAGAGUUAAGGUGAGAGGUAUCUUACGCGUGUAGGAUACGUGCAUGACAUGAAUGAUGAUUUGUAGGAUAAAAUAUAGAAUGAUAGUUUUGUUAGAAAGUCUUUUCGGUUAAGUCAAAAUCAUUCAAAUUAUGAUGUGACGUGUAACAAUUAAAUUUUUUAACAUGACAUGUAAUAACUAAAUCUUCAAUAAAACGCGUAAUAACUAUAUUUUUUAACAUGAUUUGUAACAAUUAAAUUUUUCAACAUAACGUGUAACAAUUAAAUUUUCAAUAUGAUGUAUAAUAAUUAAAUUUUUAAUAUAAUGUCAAUGUGUAAUAAUUAUAAUUUUUAACAUGACAUAUAACAUAACAUAUUUAUUGUACUAAUAAAAAUAAAUCUUUUUUUUUAUCAGAAAUUGUGUGUGAAAUGGUGUAAAGGUGACUCUGAAAAAUUGAAGCAGAAAACAGAACAAUUGGGGAAUCUUUUACGAUGGACCCACACGGCUUUGACGCUAGAACGCAGGGUAGAAUUCAUGUAUCAAUUUAAUUCCCACAAAGCGCCUUUUCUUUGUGAUUUCUAUAUCUACUUUCGUCCGAAGCAUGGUUUAUUCGGAGUAAGAGAAACGAUGGACCCCACUCUUUGGCAGCUCCUACUUUACAAUUAUUCUACUUCACUUUAUCAAAUGUUGAUGAAGGGAUUGUAAGACUAGGCUUCCAUUUUAGCUCAUAAUUAUCUAUCAAUUAUUUUAUCUAAAUUUCCAAGUCAAUCUUUAUCAACCAAUGCUCCACCAACUGAAAGUUAUGGUUUAUCUCUAUUUUUAGAUAUAUACUAUUACCCCAAAAUUUUAAGUUUCUUAUACUUAUAGUUGUAUUGAUUGCACUUUUAUCAAAAGUUUUUCAAGAACUAGAGAGGUUUUUUUUAGAUUUGAUAAUUUUGAACACAAUUAUAUUUUAAGUUUCUUAUACUUAAGCAUUGUGUGAUGCCACACUCUAUGAGUUUUAUGAAUUGGGAGGAAUGAUUUAAGUAUUUUACUGGAAAAAGAUGAGAUGGAGAUGAAAUAUUUUUCAUAAUUAAAAAGAGAUUUAUGAUUGGAAUCAAGGCUAUUGAAGGAAACAAAGUUAUUGACGAGUUUAGGGUGAUGGUUAAAUCCACAAAUUUUCAUUUCUCUUAUAAAAAUGAAAAGUUCUAAAUAAGAAUUUUUUUAGAUUUCUCUUAAGAAAAAUGAGUUUAAAUUUUAAGCUUUGUAAGUUGUGGAGAGAUUUUAAGAGAUUCAUCUAGUUCUGUGGUAGGUAUCUUCUUUGAACCAUUAGCGAAGCAUGACUUGAAAUAUAUUGAUUUGAUCAUGGCAAUCAAAAUUGCUCAUCAUGUUUUUAGUCUAUUUUUUUGGAUGGGUAAGAAAUCUCUUAUUGUUUACACUGAUUCCAAGGUGGCUUUAUUUUAAGAGCGUAACUUGAAUCCAAGACCACAAGAUAAAUAGAAAAUAUUUAGUAAGAUUGAUAAGUUAAGGUCUGUGCAUACUCUCAAAGAAGUUAACAUCUUUGCGGAUUCUCUUGUCAAAUUCUUAAGCCGUAUAUAUAAUGUACAAGUAAUCAAUAAAUACCCUAUACUCACCCCAAAGGACAACACCUUACAAAAAAAUUAAGGAGGAAAAAAGUACACAAAGAUCAUAUACAAGAGGAAACAGUUAAAUUGAUAAAAGCAAUUAAAAUAUGAAACUAAAAUCCUAAUUUGCAAGGACGUAAACUGAUUAGUAGAUUUUACGACCUUCAUUUGAUUUAUUUUUUAUAAUAUAAUUUGAUAAUGUAUUUUGUUUGCUAUGCCUCUCAAGUAGCCCAGAACUACAAGCUAGAAAUAAGUUCAAAGAUUGAUAAUGAAAAGACAUAAGCCAACCUAAUUAUUAUCGUUCUUACCAAGGGAGAAGUCAAUGAAAACACCUUAUUAGUCAACUAGAUACAUUCUUAUGAUUUCAACCUUCAUAAGGUUACCAGCAAACACAAGAUGAUAUACUCAAUUUUGAAGUUGGGAUUUGUACAUAUUUGGGCUGGAGAUGCCAAGAAUUUGAAAAGCUAUAUCACACGUUUGAAACCAUUUUCAUUUCCUAUUGAUAAAUGCAUCUUUCAUGCUAUAAAUUAAAUCCAAUACAUUUGAAGCGCAUGUUUGGCCAACUUAUGAACUAGUUACUUCAUUCAUUAGGUGUUGAGUGAAAGUUUCCAAGUAACUUCCUUGUUCUCCUCAUUUCCAAGUCUAUGCUAAAGAAUGGUCUUCUCUUCUUCUCUCAAAGCAAUUAAAAGCAAAAGCGUCUUUUCCUUAGAAAUGACCUUUUGUAAUAUUCCAAGAUGAUAAGAGUUAGGCAUGGAAACCUACUCAUAAAAUCCUUUGUACACUACUCAGAUUAAAAAUGAAAAAGAAAAAGAAAUUUUCCUUGUAUUGUACCUGAAAAUCAUAAAAUAAAAAAUGACAUAAUACUUGAAAAUGUUCUUGAAUUAUUAAGAAAAUUUUAAAUAAAUUUUUAUUUUUAUAUUAUAUUCAAUUAAAUUAUUAUAUUUUUAUUUUUAGUCAAAUAAAUAAUCAUAAUUAAUGAUUGAUUAAUUACUCACAUGAUGUUGAUAUAAAAAAUAAAAAUAUCACAUGAUUAUGAUAUUAUGUCACAUCAAUAUAUCAUUUUAUCAUUUAUUAUAUCAUACCAACAUGUCAUGUCGACGCAAUAUAAUAUAGAUUGAUAAAUAAUAUUUUGAUUAAUAACAAAUUGAUUAAUUAUUAAUUAUAAAAAUUUAUUUAAUUCAAAUAAAAAUAUAAAUACUUAAUUGAAUAAAAAAUAAAAUCUUUAUUUAAAUUUAUUUAAUAAUUUAAAAUUUUUUAAAUACUAUGACAUUCAAGAUAUUAACUAAAUAUAAAAUAUAAUGUCCUGUAACCAAAGUCACGAGUCGAACACUAAAGAAUUUAUGAGUUGAAAAGUAAAGAAUAGUACGAGAAAAUGGGGUGUCAUUUUCUCUCAAAGUGCUUGUCUCUUAAGCUUUUCUGAUCAUUUCUUUUCUUUUAUGUAGUUUCCUUGCCUUUGUUGUGUCGGUGGGAUGUCCUGUAAAGUCACGAGUCUUUUCAUUCUUCAUCUUCUCCACUCCACAAUGUAAUUUUCAAUGACCACUAAAACAUGGUUAAGUUUUAGUUUUUAACAACAAUAAAUUUUAUUUAAAUACCAAUAAUUAGUUGUACCCAAAAAAGAAAUAUCAAUAAUAAGAGUGGUCGUAUUGUGUUAUUGAAAAUGUAUUAUUGUUAUAAUCAAAUUAAAAUUUUAUCUCAUGCUUUGUUUAAUUAUUUUUUAAUUUUAAGCUUUGCAGGUUUUGGAGAGAUUUUAAGAGAUUCAUCCAAUUCUAUGGCAGAUAUCUUUUUUGAACCAUUAGCCAUCCAUGACUUGAAUUAUACUUAUUUGAUCAUGGCAAUUAAUAUUGCUCAUCGUGUUUUUAGUUUAUAUUUUUGGAUUGGUGAGAAAUCUUUUAUUGUCGAGAUGGAUUCUAAAGUGGCUUUAUUUUAAGUGCGUAACUUAAAUUCAAGAUCGUGAGAUAAAAAGAGAAUAUUUAACGAGAUUGAUAAGUUAACAUUUGUGCAUACUCUCAAAGAAGUUAACAUCUUUGCAGAUUCUUUUGUCAAAUUCUUAAGCCCUAUAUAUAAUGUGAAAGUAACCAAUAAAUAUCCUAUAUUCACUCCUCAUAACAACACCUCACAAAAAAAAUUGAGGGGAAAAAAAGUACACAAGGAUCAUAUACAAGAGGAAACAAUUAAAUUGAUAAAAAAUUAAAAAGUGAAACUCAAAUCCUAAUUUAUAAGAACAUAAAUUGAUUAGUAGAUCUUACUACUUUCAUAUGAUUUAUUUAUAUAAUAUAAUUUGAUAAUGUAUUUUGUUUGCUAUGCCUCCUAAGUUGCCCAAACUACAAGCAAGAAAUAAGUCCAAAUAAUAAUGAAAGGUCAUAAGCCAACCAAAUUAUCUUCUCACCAAAAAAUAAAAGUCAAUGAAAGCACCUUAUUAAUCAACUAGAUACAUUCUCAUUAUUUCAACCAGGUUACCAGCAGUCACAGGAAGAUGAACUCAGUUUUAAAGUUGGGAUUUGUACAUGUUUGGGUCGAAGGUAGCUGCAGUGAUCGGACAUAACCUGAUAGAGAAUAAGUAUGGUACAAUUGAAAUCAGAUAGUUUUCGUGUACACAAGGUAUCCAGCUAUCAUCUUCACCUAUUCCCAUGCGCUUGUGGUCAAGAUGCACUUUCUAAACAAUGAAAAAAAUAACAUGACAAGGUCACGUUGACUGAUAAAUAAGGGCAAAGAAUUUAGAUUUGAGUGAAUAUUAAAUAAAAUCUAAAAGUAAUUAGUAAUAAUAUGCAAGUACAGAUGAACAAGAAAUCCAAAAAUCUAAGCCUUAAUACACCUUUGAUUUAUUGGCAAUUUGACAUGUAUCGGGUGUAUGUAUGCUCUUAUGUAUUAUACAAAGAAAAAAUAUUAUCUAUCUUGAAAAGGAUCUUAUGAUUACAGUUUUUCAAAUUCUGACCUGUAUAAAAAAGAGCUACUAUUAUCAAAUAUGUAAUUAACCCUUUCCAAAUUAACAAAUAAUCUUUAGAUUUUGGGAAAAACAAAGUAGAAUGUGAAUUUCCUGAUUUUGCCCCCCUUUCGCUUGAUGGUACAACUUUCAACAUCUUUAAUAGGGUAGAAAUUGCGUCAGCGGCUCCUACCUCAUCUAGACAACCAAAACCCCUCGCCGUAUGUUAAAUCCUUAUCGAUGCUCUCAUUUCCAUGGAUUUCUCUAAAAUCCAUUUUCGUCCCAUCUUGUUCUGUCAAUAAUUUCUUUUAUAAAAUCGUUUUGAUUAAAUUGUUAACAAAGGAAAUCAUGUAAUUAUUGUACUUUCAUUUUAUUAUUAAUAAUUAUAAUUUUUUUUUUUGUGAAUCCUACCUAUCAAUUUACAUAAUAAUAUAUAACUAUCAUAACAUUAAAUGUAAUAAAAGUUUCAAAUACAAAUUUUGAUAUAACAAAGUUAAUAUAAUUUUCAAAAGAUUUAUAAAUAAAAUAAAAUAAUAAUCUCAAUAUUACAAUUAAUUUAACUUUUUAAAUUCAACAUAAAUUUUUAAAUUUAACUAGUUAAACAUGAGUAAAUAUACACAUAUAAGGAUAUAAAAAAUAAAUAAUAGUAUAAACGGGGCAGGACAGGUGGGCGGGGCAACCACAUACGUCUUGUCCCACCCAACCUAUCAAACAAAAAUAUUGCCCCACUCCUAACCCGCCUUACUUUUCAAUAAAAAAAAAAACCCUCAUUCGAGGUGGAAUCCAUGGAGUAGCUUGGACUUUGCCAUCCGUACCUUUGAAAUAGGAAUGAACAUGUAAUCAACUUUUACACAAUAUAUGUGGGCUAUGUUGAACCCCUUGCAACUGUUUUAAUAGAGAGGUUGGAUUUGAUCUUGUUUAAUUUGUUACUAAGCAACAUCUAAAGGAAAUUGGAAACGUUUCAAAUUGUUUUAGGAUAGUGGAACUUGAAGGAGGAAAGAAAAAAAAAACCUAUAAGUAUAUCCUUUUGAUGUGCAACAUAUAAAGAAAAUGGUGGAGCUAUAUUUGGGUGAUUCCAAAUUCGGUUGAAUGCUUUAUUAGAAAGAUCACGAGGAAUAAGUUCAAUCAUAAGUCUUCUUCACUGAAUGGCAUAAUGAGAACACACUAGUUAUGGAUGACGGAUGAAAAACCAAAGAAUAAAGAAGACAAGCAAAACUCACUGUUUAAAUAAAAGAGAAUGCAGAGCAUAUAAAGCUGGAAAUGCACCGUUUUACUAAGGAGAUUUAUUAACCUUUUCUUUAAUUUUCUAUUAAGUUAGUUGAAUGUAAUUAUUAUGCCUUUUCUUAUUUACUUUACUAUUUAAACACUGUAUAUAUAUUUUUUCUCAUUGAGCAUUGAUUGAAUAGAAAAACCUUGAGAAAUUUUCUCAAGGCUAUGUCGUCUUGUUCUUUUCUUCUGCUCAUUUCUUGACAUGAUAUUAGAGUAGCUUGGAAUCCAACUGACAGUCAGUAUUCUUUUACAGUAGCAAAAGGACUAUUUCAUCAAUAGAGGACAAAUUUGUUACCUAUUCAGCAUCAAUAUUUAGUCUUCUUGCUACUACAUCAUCACUCAGGUUCAUCUAAUCCUUUUAGUAAAAUUUACUCUUUAGUGUUUAGUUCUUAAGAGUACUUUAUUAUCAUUUGAGAAAUCAUGGCUGAGAACAUAAAAUCUAGAACUCAGUCUGGUACACAGACUAAUGCACAAAUCAAGACUCAAAUCACCAAAAUAUCACAUCUAGUAGACCCUCAACCCCUUUAUUACCUACAUCACACCGAUAGUCCUAAUUCAGUGGUUAUUAGCCCCAAACUUACCAGCAACAAUUACAUAGCAUGGAGUAGGUCUUUUUUGCUAGAAAUAUCUAUUAGGAACAAAAUUGGUUUCCUAAAUGGUUCCAUACCUAAACCUCAGGGUACAAAUCCUCUUUACCUAUCUUGGACCCGUUGUAACAAUUUAUUGGUAGCUUGGUUGCUUGAUUCGAUCACACAAUCAAUAGCCUUAACCAUUUUCUUCAUGGACUCAAUAGGUAAAAUAUGAUUUAAUUUGUGAAAUUUGUCCACUUGCAAAGCAAAGAAAACUUCCCUUUCUUGUGCAUAUUCAAAACAUAAAAACAGCUUUUGAAUUAAUACAUGUAGAUGUUUGGGGUCCAUAUAAGACACCAACAUUAUCUAAUCAAAGAUUCUUUCUCACUAUAGUGGAUGACUUUACAUGAUUUACUUGGAUUUUUCUCAUGAGAAGCAAGUUAGAUGUUCUAUCAAUAAUUCCUUCUUUCAACAACUAUGUUCAAAGGCAAUUUGGUUCUUUAAUCAAAUGUAUUAGGUCAGAUAAUAAACUAGAACUAAGGAUGACAGAUUUCUUUGAUAAAACUAGAAUCAUACAUCAUUUAUCAUGUAUUGAAACUCCUCAACAAAAUGGAAUUGUUGAGAGAAAGCAUUAACAUAUCUUGAUGGUAGCUAGGACCUUAAUGUUUUAGUUCGAUAUACCUAUGCAUUUUUUGGGAGAUGCAGUUUUAAUAGCAGUGCAUAUCAUUAAUAGAGUACCUACCAAAUUACUACAAAACAAAUCCCCAUUUGAGUUAUUAUAUGGGAAGCUACCUUCUUAUGACCAUUUAAGAUUGUUUGGGAGCUUGUGGUAUGUGUUUACACUGUCACACAACAGAAAGAAAUUGGAUAAAAGAGCCUUCAAAUUCUCAUGUCAUAGGCUGCAAAUGGGUUUAUAAGGUCAAGCUGAAUGCAAAUGGCACUGUUGAAAGGUACAAAGCCCGGCUAGUUGCUAAGGGCUAUAAUCAAGUAGCUAGGCUUGACUAUCAAGAAACAUUCAGCCCAGUUGCCAAGCAUACAACUGUCAGAGUAUUUUUUUCUUUGGCAGCAACUUUGAAUCUGAAUUUAUCUUAACUUGAUUUAGACAAUGCUUUACUAAAUGGUGAUCUAGAAGAAGAAGUGUAUAUAUAACUGUCAUAGGGGUAUGAAAUCCAGAGGGGAGUAUCCGCAAGGAAUACAACUUGUUUGUGAACUCCAUAAGUCACUAUAUGGCCUGAAGCAAGAUUCUAGGCAAUGGAAUGUCAAGAUUACUUCCCUAAUUCUACAAUAUGGGUUUCAUUAGUCCAUUACAGACUAUUCUCUAUUUACCAAGAAAGAAAAAUAUGGUAAUUUCAUUGCUCUAUUAUUAUAUGUAGAUGACAUAUUGAUUGGGAGCACAUCAUCGCAGGUUGUAACAAAAAUGAAACAAUUUAUGAGCUCACAUUUCAAACUCAAAGACUUGGGAAAGGUCAAGUACUUUCUUGGAUUAGAAAUAAAAAGGGUUUCUUGAAGGAAUUUCAAUAUGUUAAUGGAAAUAUGCCUUAGAUCUCUUAGAGGAACAUGGGUUGCUAGGGGCUAAGGCAAUAUCCACUCCUAUUGACUACAACCACAAACUGUAGAAGACUCAAGAUGGGGACAGGUUAGUUAAUCCAAUAAACUAUAGGCAGAUAGUUGGAAAGUUAUUGUACCUUACAUUUAACAGACUAGAUAUCUCAUAUGCAGUGCAAAUACUAUCAUAGUUCAUGGACAAACUAGGGCUCAAGCAUCUCACAGCAACUCACAGGGAAUUGAAAUACCUUAAAGGUUCACUAGGACAGAGGAUCUUGAUGAAGUCUAAAUAAAAUUUAAAGUUAUCUGCCUACUAUGACAGUGAUUGGGCAGGGUGCCAAGAUUCGAGGAGAUCAAUGAGUGGAUACAAUAUUUUUAUUGUGGAUUCCUUGGUAACAUGGAAAUCAAAGAAACAGCCUGUUGUGGCAAGAAGCUCAGCAGAAGCAAAGUACCGGUGUAUGGCAUCAACAUGUUGUGAAGUUGUUUGGUUAAAACACUUACUCUCAAAUUUUGGGAUAGAAUGUAUAGAUGUUGUAAUCCUUUAUUCUGACAGUCAAUCAGCAAUACACAUCAACAAGAAUCCAGUCUUCCAUGAGAGGACCAAGCACAUUGAGUUAGAUUGUCAUUUCAUCAGAAAGCAGGUGCUUGAAGGUAUAAUUAAACCAAUGUACAUGUCAACCAAUUUGCAACUCGCAGACAUGUUCACUAAGGCAUUAACACCAAGGUAGUUUUACAAUCUUCUAAGCAAGAUGAAUGUUCAUAACAUUCAUAUGUCAUUUUGAAGGGGAGUAUUAGAAAGAUCACGAGGAAUAAGCUCAAUCCUAAGCCUUCUUCACUGAAUGGCAAAAUAAGAAUACUCUAGUUGUGGGUGAGGGAUGGAAAAACCAGAGAAUAAAAAGAGACAAGUAAAGCUCACCGUUUUAAAAAAAGAGUAUGCAAAGCAUAUGAAGUUGGAAAAGCAUCGUUUCACUAAGGAGAUUUAUUAGCCUUUUCUUUAAUUUUCUUUUAAGUUAGUUGAAUGUAAUUAUUAUGAUUUUUCUUCUUUACUUUACUGUUUAAACAUUGUAUGUAUAUUUAUGCUCAUUAAGCAUUGAUUGAAUAGAAAAAACCCUGAGAAAGUUUCUCAAUGUUGUGCCGUCUUGUUCUUUUCUUUUACUGUAAAUGAAGUAGUUUUCUACACUUCUACUGGCUAAUUCUAAUACUGUAAGCACAUGGCCAAUGAAUAAUGAUCACUUUCUAACGUAAUAGAAAAAUAGUAAUCACUUUUUUUUUACUCUUCUCUAAAACGAGAGAAAAAAACUCAAAUUACCAUUUUUUUUCUUUUUGUAGUUUCCUUGCCUUCGUUGUGUCGGUUGAAUGUCCUUUCAAAAGUCACGAGUCUCACAAGAAAAUAUAGUCUUUUUAGUGCAAAAUGUGGUGUCAUUUCAUUGUUCAUCUUCCCCUUCACUCCACAAUGUAUUUUUCAUUUUUUAGUGACCACUAAAAAAUGGUUAAAUUUUAGCAUUUAACAACAAUAAAUUUGAUUUAAAUAUCAAUAAUUAGUUGUACCCAAAAAGGAAAUACCACUAAUAGGAGAAGUGGUAUUGUGUUACUGAAAAUGUAUUAUUCUUGUAAACAAAUUAAAUUUUUUAUCUUAUGUGUAGUUUAAUAAUUUUUUUAAUAUUUGUGUUUAAGAUUUUGAGAUGAAGUGUUCAUUUUGAAUAUUAAUAUUGGACUUGAGAUGAAUUAAUGAGAUGAAUUAAUGUCAAAUCUUAAAAGGUGGGGUAAUUUAUCUAAAAAAAUUAGAUUUUUAACCCUAACAUUUCAUGAACCAUGAAUAUGGAUAAUGCUAAGAAAAUUCAAUUGUUUGAUUACUCACAAAUAGCAUCAAUAAUAAAUAUAAUAAUUUUAUAAUUAUUUAUUUUUUAUAAAUAAUUGGAUAAUUGGACAUUUUAGCAUUUUUUCUAUGAAAAUAUUUGUAUUUAAUUUUUAUUACUGUAAAUUUAGAUAGGUAGAUCAAAUUUAUCUUUUAUUUUUAAAAGGAUGUAAUUUUUAUUACCGUAACUUUUAAUUGAUUAAAAUAUAAUUAAAUAUUAUCAAUAAAAGAAUGUUAUAUAAAAUAUUUUAAUUUUUUAUCAUUUUAAAUUAAAUUAGAAAGUAUAAUGAUAAAUUUAUGUCCAUUUAAAGAUGAAUGACAAAUUUAAUAUACCAUGUUAAAUAGAAUAGUAAAAUUUAUAUAAUAUGUCCAUUUAUGUUAAUGCUAUCUAAUAAAAAAAGUAAUUUCUAGCAUCCUUCUAAAAGUUGAAGCAACUUAUUUGCUCCAAAAUUUUCACAUGGAAAGAUAUUUGACUAAUACUCAAUUUGGGGUUAAAAUUUUUAGGUUUUGGUCAAUUUAGGGCUAAAUAUUUCAAUUGUAACAAUUAAAGACUACACGUUUUUGGUCUCCUUACAAUUAAAAUUGUAACAUCAUGUGUAGCAACUGCAUUUUUCAAUAUAAUAUGUAACAAUUAAAUUUUCAAUAUGGCAUAUAACAACUAUAUUUUCAACAUAAUAUGUAACAAUUAUUUCCAAAUCAGUUGCCAUGUCAUCAACUCAACUGAUUUUUUGUCGCGUGUGAUACAAUUUCUAUUCACUUAUCAACUUAACCCUUAAUUAUAAAGAAUAAAAAAUGUUUGACCUUUAAUUAUUACAAUUGAAAUGUUUGACUCUUAAUUGUUACAAUUGAAACAUUUGACCCUUAAUUGAAAAGAUAUCCAAAGGUUUAACCCCAAUUAAAGCAUUUAGCCAAGAUAUUUUAUUGAUAUGAAACAUUGCCAACAGAUUCUAAUAAAAUGUAAUACAUUGUAACACAUUAUGCCUACGUGUCAAUAUAUGAGAGGUAAUACUUUUGUAGGUUAACACUUUCAUAUUUUUUAAAUAACGUAAUAAAAUGUACUAACUAAUUUAUUUUCAAUGCUAAUCAUUCAAAUAUUUGUUGUAUUAACAAAAAUAAAUCUUUUUUUUUAUCAGAAAUUGAGCGUGAAAUGGAGUAGAGGUAACUGUGAAAGACUUGAAGUGGAAGUAAAAAGCAGAGAAAUUCAGGAAUAUUUUAGGAUGGACCCACACGACUCUUAAGUUAAAAAGCAGAGUAGAAUUUAUGUAUGAAUUUGAUUCCCACAAAGCCCCUGUUCUUGGUGAUUUCUACAUUGGAAAAAAGUUGAAACAUGGAAACUGCAUAUCCAAUUUCGUCCGAAGCUUGAUUUAUUAGAGUAAAAGAAACGUAUAAAAUGGAGGCAUCAUCUUUAGAGUAGGAGACUCUUUGGCAGCUAGCCCUCCCCAGUCCCCACGGUUGGACCUACAGACUUAAUAAUUGCCACAACCAGAAGUGCUCCAGCUCAUACUUCACAAUUAUUCUACUUCACUUUAUCAAAAGUUGAUAAAGACAUGAUGCUUUAACAAAGAGCAUGCUAUGAGAUGGCUUAAAUGGAUUGUAAGACUAAGCUUUCAUUUUAGUUCCUAAUCUAUCGAUUAUUUGAUCUAAAUUUCCAAGUAAAAGUUAUACUUUUACUCUAGAACUUUGGACUUUCUAAUACUUACUUAUCUUGACUUGCACUUUUACCAAAAGUCUUGCGAGAAUUAGAUGUGUUUCUUUCAAAAAUAAUUGUUGUUUAUAGGUUUGGUGUGAUUUGUACCGCAUGAAUUGCUGUCAUAUAUUAAUUUCAUGGUAUUAUUCAUGAAUUAUCUGAUGUUAUAUUUUUUAAUGCUACCAUUUGUAUUAACCAAAUUUAUUUCAUGAAAUAUUUCAAUUCUAUUGUUUUUUUUCUUCAAAAUCAACGAAAUUAAAAGUAUAAUGAUUACUUCACUCUAAAAAAAAAGUAUAAUGAUAACAUUCAAUAAAAUUAUAAAUAUAAUGAAAAACUUUAAUAUUAAGUCGUGACAAAUUUCGCCAUUAUCACUGUCCAAUUCAUUCUCAGGCUCUAUAUAUAAUGUGCAAGUAACCAAUAAAUUCCCUAUAUUCACCCCAAAGAGCAACACCUUUACAAAAAAUAGAGCGAAAAGAGAAGUACACAAGGAUCAUAUACAAAAGGAAACAAAUAAAUUGAUCAAACAAUUUCAAUGUGAAACUCAAAUCCUAAUUUGCAAGUAUAUAUAUAUAUAAUUUGAUAGUGCAUUUCGUUUGCUAUGCCUCCCAAACUACAAGCAGAAAUAAGUUCAAAGAUUAAUAAUGAAAAGUCACAAGCAACCUAAUUAUCAUUCUUACAUAAAAAGGAAAAGGAAAAGUCAAUGAAAGCACUUUAUUAGCAACCAGAUACAUUCUCUUGAUUCCAACCUUUGGAAGGUUACCAGCAAACACAAGAGGAUGGACUCAAUUUUGUGAAUGUUAUGGCCAGAGGUACCUGCAGUGAUGGGACACAACCUGAUAGAGAAAGAGUAUGGCACAAUCGGAGUAAGAUACUUUCUGUGUAUCUAGGGUUUUUUUUUCCAAAGGGAGAAGGGGAUUUGAACUCUGUUUUUUAAGCUGGGGAUUAUACACCAUCCAAUGAGUUAAACAAUGAAAAAACAUAAUAUGACAAGGUCACAUUGGUUGAUAGAUAAGUGGAAGGAAUGAGAUUUGCGUAAAGAUGAACAAGACAUCCAGAAAUCUAAGCCUUAAGACACGUUCAAUUCAUUGGAAAUUUGACAUGUAUUGUGUGUAUGUACAUAUGGUAUGUAUAUGAAAAAAGGGUAUGCAACCUCCCAGUGUGCCUACAAACAACAAACAUAACACUUUUCAUCGUUCCAAUCUCAAAAUGAAGGUCCUGAUUAAUUUCAUAUUCAUGCAAAAAACAUAAAACAAAUCGACAGGAGAGACAUGAAUUACUCAGACUUCCAAGUGUACUUUGUCAAGGUGAUACUUUGUCAUUCCAAGUAUCCUUAGCAGAACAUUCAGUUAACCAUUGAUACCAGGACAAUUGUUCUAUUUGACUUGCAACAUCUUUCUUUCUUUUCUUUUGUUCACAUUUUCUAUUCUUUUCUUUCUUUUCCUUUUGGCCAAGUAUCCUUAGCAGAACAUUCAGUUAGCAUGCUACCAUGAUCACCACCUUAGUGUAAGACUUGCAUACCUGCAGUAAUAACAGGGAAAUGUCAUUUUUUGAAAUCAAUGCUCAUAUAAUCUUAACAAAAAUGACAUGAAGCAAAAUAGUAGUAGUAUUUAGUCACCUGGCCUCCAAUUUGAUUAUAGAUAAGUGACCAUCUUCUAAACCAUGAAAUGAAUUUGCAAAAGUGGAUCAUACUACUCUAUUUAUCAGUAAUCUGAAAGUUUAGAAUGAACAUAAAUCAACAGAUUUUAAAUGAAGUUACAGUAACAGAAAUUUAUAAAAGAAAAAAAAUCUAAUACAAUAGUUCAAUCAGAAGCAAUUGGUUCCAUUAUUUUUUUUUUUUUUGAAAAGUGAAUUUAUUCAACCUCAAUACUGGUAUGCCAUCUCAAGUCUCUUGUCUAAAUGCCCAAAGACUACCGUGGCAUUAGAGACCUGGUAUGGGUGUGUAAACUCGAACAAUUACAUUAAGAAAGCCAGCCAAAAAAUUUGGUGGCUGCUCAAAGAGAUGGAAACCAUAAAAAUUAAAAAAAAAUGCCCUGUGAAACCAAAUUUUUGGAAAUUUGAGGUUGUAUAUACCAUGGGGUAGAUCUUGGAGAUUUGUACAAUUUGAGAGGUAGAGCACUUUGAGGUUUGUGGCGGGCAAACCAAUUUCUGGAAAGGAAACCAAAUUUGUACAUUCUAUGUUAAUCUUCUGGAGAUGGCAGAGCCUGUUCAAACCUUGAGGUAAAUAAUUAAUCUUAUCACAAUCAGAGAUAAGAAUACAUUCAAGAGCAGCAUUUUGUUGAAUUUCUUGGGCUAUUGAUUCUAGCUUUGGACAAUACUCUAUUUGCAAUUCUUUUAGCCCUCUAGGUAACUGACCUCUUGAUGAUAAAGAUACAAGAGAUGAACAACCUAAAACAUUCAAGUGCUCAAGAAGAAAUGCACUGUCGAUGUUGAUAUUCUCUCCCUCAUCCCACAAACAGCGUAAAUUAUGACAAAACCAAAUCCUCAGCCUAUUCCGGCUCAAAGGCAAAUUGCUCUUUGAAAGCGAAAUCAGUUUCGGGCAAGACUCGAGCACUAGCACCCUAAGCGACGUGAAGGACUGCAAGGUUGUUGAUAUCUUUUCUAGCUUUUCACAAUCCUCUACUACCAUACGUUCAAUGCUGUAAGGGAUCUUCAAUUGCAUCAAUUCUUCUCUUUCCCCUUCUACCCCUAUGGAUAAAAGUUGCGCACAGCCUCUAAUUGUCAAAUUACCAAGGGACAUUGACUGAGUUAACAAUCCCCAAUUGUUCUCUCGCGAAGAGAACAACUCUUCACAUCUAAGAAUCUUAAGGGAUUCCACUCUUAUUGAUCCUAACCUCAAACAUUCUCUUGUACAAGUAAACUUGGGAAUGUUUGAAAAAAAGACUUUUUGUAAUGAACUAUGAUCUGCAAACCCUUUAUAUACUACCUUCUCGCAUUCAUCAAUUUCUAAUUCUGAAAGCUUUGGAAAGCUUGAAAUUGAAAUUUCCAAUUUCUCACAGCUUUUAAUCACAAGUUUCUCCAAUGCAGGAAGCGAUUCCGGUAUACUUCCCAACAGUUCGGAGCAAUAGCAAAUAUGGAGCUCUCGAAGUUUCGAAAAUUUCAUGGCUUCAUCAUCAACUUCCCAAUUCUCCCAGUUAAGCAUGUAUCCAAAUCGUAAAAUCUCCAAUGAUGAAAAUGCAUUUGGUGUGUUUUCUCCUAAGAACUCGAGUCCAACACUAGUUACAUUAUGCAAUCCCUGGAUGCAUACUUCUUUCAACAAUGGCAAUUUCCCAAUUGAUGGCAAUGACAUGCAAUUUAGACAAUUUAUGAGGGAUAAAGAUAGUAAAUUAUUGAACGAAGAAUCUCCUACCCAUUUUGCCAAUGUGUCACCACAAUAGCCCACAAUGGUGAGCUUCUUAAGCUUUUUAGAAGGUUGAAGCGAAUCCAACACCUUUUUCUCAACUUCUUCUGUUGCAUUACCAAAGCAGCUACACCAUUUCAAUUCUAACCCAUCGAGUCCCAUCUUCUCUUGUAACUUAGCCCCACAUGCAUCUUGAGUUUCAAUAACAUUUUCUAACCCAGAAAUACAAAGUUGACCCUUGAGUUUGGUUAAAUCCUUUAGCUCCCUUAUUUGAUAGCCCUUUCUUUUACCGGCGACAAAAUUAGAAAGUGUUUGAAGAUUAGUCAAUCUACCAAAAUUACUUGGCAUGCCUUGUAAUCUAAUUGCAUCAAUGAUAUCAAGAUGACAUAGGUUCACUAAGUUUUCCAUCUCUGAAGGUUGCUUCACAAGGUGCUCACACCUCCUUAACAAAAGGGUUUCUAAAUUAUAGAGGGUGCUUAUUGACUCAGGCAAGCUUCUAAUAAAGGUGCGAGAAAUAUAUAGGUAGCGUAAGUGUUUUAAAUCUCCUAUAAAAUCUGACAACACUUUGAUCUUAUACCCUUUCAAAGAAAGCACCCUCAAGCAUCUCAAACAUGGCAACAAACAUGUUAGAACAUUGCUGGUUACAAAGCCAUUACCAUAACUUGACAACCUCAAUGGCAAAAAGGUUCGUAAAUACUUUGCUUCCCAAAUGCCUUUAAACUUUUUGAUGCCAUCACACUCAUCAGCAAUGUAAGAUAAGUGGCGAGCCUGCUUUGAAAUUUGCUUAUCACGCUCUAUUCUAAAGCAUAUUUCUCCAGCAACUGAUUGAGCCAGAUCAUGAAUGAGGUCAUGCAUAACAAAUCGAGAAUUAUCGUUGCUGGAUAUUUGCAAAAGAGACCUUGAUAGUAGAUUUCUAAAGUACUGGUGACCCAAAUCUUCAAUGCGUUGUCUAUCUCGUGCUUCUUGUAGAAAACCUUCUGCCCUCCAUAACAAAAUUAUCUCUUCUUCUUCAAAUUCAUAAUCCUUAGGAAAAAUGGAGCAAUACGCGAAGCAUCGUCUCAAAUGCGGAGGAAGAUGAUGGUAACUUAAUUGUAGAGCUGGAAUUAUACCACAUUGAUGUUCUGAUAAUUGCCAUAUCUCACUCUCUAAUAUAUUUUUCCAAGCAUCAUGUUCAACAUUCGUACGUAACAAUCGUCUCAAAUGCUCAAACCCAUGCUUUGAGGUCAAAAUGAUUUUGGAUACUAGCAUCAUUGUAAACAAGUUGGGCCAAGGUUGUCUUACCAACCCCUCCCAUGCCAACGAUGGGAAUCACAAAAUUUCGUUCAUCAUCACUCUUGAAGGGCAAUUCGAGUAUUGUCUCCUUGUCUUUGUCUCUACCAUAAACAUGAGUUUCGAUCUCCACAGAAGUAGGCUGCGGCCGUUCUUCUAUCCUUUUGGAUCUA
rnacentral:lncRNA from 1 species